rnacentral:rRNA from 1 species
GUCUAUGGCCAUACCACCCUGAAUGCACCAGAUCUUGUCUGAUCUCAGAAGCUAAGCAGAGUUGGGCCUGGUUGAUAAGUUCAUGGGAGAAUCAAAUGAACUUUGGCUACCUUACUUG